UACGUAGGGUGCAAGCGUUAUCCGGAAUUAUUGGGCGUAAAGAGCUCGUAGGCGGUUUGUCGCGUCUGCUGUGAAAACUGGAGGCUCAACCUCCAGCCUGCAGUGGGUACGGGCAAACUAGAGGUAGGUAGGGGAGAUCGGAAUUCCUGGUGUAGCGGUGAAAUGCGCAGAUAUCAGGAGGAACACCGGUGGCGAAGGCGGAUCUCUGGGCCUUACCUGACGCUGAGGCGCGAAAGCUAGGGGAGCAAACAGG
rnacentral:rRNA from 1 species